UCCGGCUUAUCACCGGCAGUCCCCCUAGAGUGCCCAACUAAAUGAUGGCAACUAAGGGCGAGGGUUGCGCUCGUUGCGGGACUUAACCCAACAUCUCACGGCACGAGCUGACGACAGCCAUGCAGCACCUGUGCUAGCUCCCCGAAGGGUCCUUCACGUUUCCGAUCCGUACCACUAGCAUGUCAAGCCCUGGUAAGGUUCUUCGCGUUGCAUCGAAUUAAACCACACGCUCCGCCGCUUGUGCGGGCCCCCGUCAAUUCCUUUGAGUUUUAGCCUUGCGGCCGUACUCCCCAGGCGGAGUGCUUAACGCGUUAGCUUCGUUACCAAGGAAUAACUUCCCCGACAACCAGUUGACAUCGUUUAGGGCGUGGACUAC
rnacentral:misc_RNA from 1 species